AAGGCGCAGCUGAUCCAGCAUGCCGCGUGUGUGAAGAAGGCUGCGGGUUGUAAAGCACUUUAAGCAGGGAAGAAUGGGCUAAAGCUAAUACCUUUGGUCAGUGACGUUACCUGCAGAAUAAGCACCGGCUAACUCCGUGCCAGCAGCCGCGGUAAUACGGAGGGUGCGAGCGUUAAUCGGAAUUACUGGGCGUAAAGCGCGCGUAGGCGGUUGGCUAAGUUUGCUGUGAAAGCCCCGGGCUUAACCUGGGAACUGCAGUGAAUACUGGUCAGCUAGAGUAUGGUAGAGCGGUAGUGCGCUUUCCGGUGUCGC
rnacentral:rRNA from 1 species